UACAGAGACUGCGAGCUUUAUUCGGAUUCACUGGGCGUAAAGGGUGCGCAGGCGGCCGUGUGUGUGAGGCGUGAAAGCCCGGGGCUUAACCCCGGAAUUGCACCUCAAACUACACGGCUAGAGCAUUGGAGAGGGUAGCGGAAUUCACGGUGUAGCAGUGAAAUGCGUAGAUAUCGUGAGGAACACCAGAGGCGAAGGCGGCUACCUGGACAAUUGCUGACGCUCAGGCACGAAAGCGUGGGGAGCAAACAGG
rnacentral:rRNA from 1 species